UUGCCCUCCUGAUUAGUAAUAAUUGGGUAAUAAAGCGGGAGAAUUCAGAGAAAACCUAAGGCAUUUAUGCUAUGGCAACUCUGAGCCGAGCCAAGCGAAGCCUGAAAGUAGCUUGGAGGGUGCAACGACUAAUGGGUGAGGAAGGCAACCAAUAAACCCAACACGAGUACCCGCCACCCUCAAAGGGUGAAGAUAUAGUCUGAACUAUAUGGAAACACAUAG
rnacentral:ncRNA from 1 species